GACGAACGCUGGCGGCGUGCUUAACACAUGCAAGUCGAACGGAAAGGCCCUGCUUUUGUGGGGUGCUCGAGUGGCGAACGGGUGAGUAACACGUGAGUAACCUGCCCUUGACUUUGGGAUAACUUCAGGAAACUGGGGCUAAUACCGGAUAGGAGCUCCUGCUGCAUGGUGGGGGUUGGAAAGUUUCGGCGGUUGGGGAUGGACUCGCGGCUUAUCAGCUUGUUGGUGGGGUAGUGGCUUACCAAGGCUUUGACGGGUAGCCGGCCUGAGAGGGUGACCGGCCACAUUGGGACUGAGAUACGGCACAGACUCCUACGGGAGGCAGCAGUGCGGAAUAGUGCACAAUGGGAGGAAGCCUGAUGCAGCAACGCAGCGUGCGGGAUGACGGGAUUCGGGUUGUAAACCGCUUUCGCCUGUGACGAAGCGUGAGUGACGGUAAUGGGUAAAGAAGCACCGGCUAACUACGUG
rnacentral:rRNA from 1 species